AUGGCCGUGGUGCAGGCGGCGUCGGUGCUCGGGAGCUUCCCGUUCAGGGCGGCCGUGGUCGCGCUCUGCGUGCUGCUGCUCCCGCUCCUCCCGUCGCCACGGGUGCCUGCGGCGGGGGAGGGGGACGGCGGCGGCGGCGGGGGCGGGGGCCAGGCGUUCUUGGCCAAGGUGUGGGAGCUGCUGCACCUGCUCUUCGUCGGGAUCGCCGUGUCCUACGGGCUCUUCAGCCGGAGGAAUGACGGUGGGGGGCGGGUCGAGAAGGAUGCUGCCGCGGCGGCCGGGAAGGCGGACGCGAGGUACGUCUCGCGGAUGUUCCAGGGCGACCUCGUGUUCGACGAUGAUGGCGACGACGGCGUGCCCGACAGCCCCGCUGGCGGCGGGGCGCGGUCCUGGAGCGCGCUGCACUAUCCUGAGGAGCCUGUGGUCAUGGUGGCGGCAGGCGGGGGCGGGCGGAGCCACACCGCGGCCCAGCAGGCGCCACUGUCGCUGCCCGUCCGGGCCCUGAGGCCGCAGGACUCCGGCGCGCCGGGACACGGCAACGGCGAGUCGCGUGCGCAGCCACGCGCCCAUGACACCGUGCUCCCUUCGCCGAUCCCGUGGCGGUCACGGUCCGGGAGGUUCGACGCGCCACCGACUCCGAGCAGCCCCGCACCGUCGCCGAAGAGGCUCUCGCCCGCGUCGUCCAUGUCCGACGAGACACUGGCCAAGGCCAGCGAGGAGCACGCCACCGUCCCCAAGCGGAGGAGCACGUAUAAGUCUUCCAUUUCCUCCCUACCGCCCCCGCCGCCUCCGCCACCCCCGCCGUUCCUUGUCCACAGUUACCACCCUGCGGCCGACCGCCGGACCACUGCGGCGAAGAGCUUCAAGGAGGAGCUGCAGGAUCACAGCACAAGAGGCAGAGGAGACCACGACCAUUACUCGCAGCAGAGUUCGCAGAGCUUCAACAGUUCAUCUACUUACACCAACUCCUCGCCGGCGACGCCAAGAAGCUCUUUCGAUGGCUCCUCCUCGUCGCCGUCAUCGCCGUCAGUCGGUAGAUCAGUGAGAACAAUCAGGCCAAGAGAAGGGAUCCAACCCAAAAUCCAAGAAGUGACCGACGAAGACGAAGCCGGCAAUGCACCGGAUAGCUCGCAUGGAUCAGAAGAGCCAUAUGGAUACAGAGAGUACCAAGCCGUCCCAAGGUUCCAGUACGAGAGGAGGAGCAGCGACCCAAUCCUGGGCAUAGUGGCGGUCUCCUCGGACGAGACCGAGAGCAGCGACGACGACGAGGACGGCGUUGACGCCUACUCCACGAGGACGAACUCGCCGAGGGAGUCGCCGCCGACGCCGGAGGUGGACGAGAACGAGGUGGACAAGAAGGCGGAGGAGUUCAUCGCAAGGUUCAGAGAGCAGAUCAGGCUGCAGAGGAUCGCGUCCAUCAAGAAGUCUGCCGGACCCCGCGGCCUCAAGCACGGCAAGUAG
rnacentral:rRNA from 1 species